UACGAAGGGGGCUAGCGUUGCUCGGAAUCACUGGGCGUAAAGCGCACGUAGGCGGCUUGUUAAGUCAGGGGUGAAAUCCUGGAGCUCAACUCCAGAACUGCCUUUGAUACUGGCGAUCUUGAGUCCGGGAGAGGUGAGUGGAACUGCGAGUGUAGAGGUGAAAUUCGUAGAUAUUCGCAAGAACACCAGUGGCGAAGGCGGCUCGCUGGCCCGGUACUGACGCUGAGGUGCGAAAGCGUGGGGAGCAAACAGG
rnacentral:rRNA from 1 species